UUUACCCACACACACAGCAGCGAUAACUGUUUACAACCGAACAUUUUAUUGAAGUUUUAAGACUUAUUUGUGAAAAUGGUUAAACGAUGCGGAUGGGGAAUAUGUUAUGCGGAUGAAAGGUAUCCGGAGGGAGUAAAUGGAGGCCGAUUUAAACGAUUUCCGACCUAUAAUCCGACAUUGAGAAGUGCAAAUGCUGGAUUAAAGCCUGUGGACGGCCACACGAGAAACUGAAUGUUAACAGGAUAAACCAGCACGAAGAUGUCUGCUCGAAGCUUUUUCAUGGAGGAAAUGGACCAUCUAAAGAGUAUCCUGACCCAUUAUCAGCUGAUGGCUGGAGAAUAAAAUCUUCAAGAAAACUCCCCACAAAGCGGUCACUUGGAAAGGAAACUUAUGGCAGCAUUUAUACACAAAAUGCAAGUGUAUGCAUUUAAUACAAGAUAUCACAUGCCUAGAAAAGCUGGUCCAGGAUCCUGCAGACACUGUACCAGGAGUAGAAACACAGACCGAAUGUCCAUGGACAUCACCUUUGGAUAUGUUUGCACUUACCGCUCAGAAUGCUUCCCUAAAAGAACAGUUGUCACAAAAAGAAGUCCAAGUUGAAGAAUUACAGUUUGCACUUUCAUCAAAGUGUUGUGAAAUUCAGAUUUUAAAGCAACUGGUGGGAAUAUAAACCAACUUUAAAUGUCGAUAUAGUUCUGCUCAAAGAAGCAAGAGUUAAAAUUAAAUUUUGUUUAAAUAUUAUACAGGAAUCAUAUGAUUUUAUUUCUGCUUCUUUGAUAUAAUCGAAUAACUGUUAGUUUAUUCAUGUUUGGAAUA